rnacentral:rRNA from 1 species
UACGAGGGGGGCGAGCGUUGUUCGGAAUUAUUGGGCGUAAAGGGUGCGUAGGCGGGUCUUUAAGUCAGAGGUGAAAUCCUGGAGCUCAACUCCAGAACUGCCUUUGAUACUGAGGAUCUUGAGUUCGGGAGAGGUGAGUGGAACUGCGAGUGUAGAGGUGAAAUUCGUAGAUAUUCGCAAGAACACCAGUGGCGAAGGCGGCUCACUGGCCCGGUACUGACGCUGAGGUGCGAAAGCGUGGGGAGCAAACAGGG